rnacentral:rRNA from 1 species
UACCAGCACCCCGAGUGGUCGGGACGAUUAUUGGGCCUAAAGCAUCCGUAGCCGGUCCUACAAGUCUUCCGUUAAAUCCACCUGCUUAACAGAUGGGCUGCGGAAGAUACUAUAGGGCUAGGAGGCGGGAGAGGCAAGCGGUACUCAGUGGGUAGGGGUAAAAUCCUCUGAUCCAUUGAAGACCACCAGUGGCGAAGGCGGCUGCCAGAACGCGCUCGACGGUGAGGGAUGAAAGCUGGGGAGCAAACC